AUGUAAACAACACAUGUACUGUAUGUAUGGGAGCAGCUCAUCACAGUGUCUCUGGAGAUAAACUGUUGUGCCUGGCUCGGGGCAAACUGCUGUGUGUUUGGAAGUCUCCGCUGAGCUCUGGGGGAAUCGCAGGAAAUUGUCGGCAGCACCCCGUUGUGUCCUCCCUAAUCCAGCCGUCACACCCCCUGGUUCCCACCCAGACCUCCAUGCACGUGUGUGUGUAAGGUGGACACACAGAGAGAAGCAGCCUGAUAGUAGUCCCCAGAAACAGCCCAACGGCUGUUUCCUUGUCUCUUCACGCCGUCUCUUCACGCCUCCGUCGUGUUGUUCUCAACACCAGUUUAAAUCAAUAAAGUUUUCUAGAUAUCUGUCAUUUCUUCGGGCUCAUUUCAUUUCUGUGAUGUCGGACCAGGCCUGGACUCGGACUUCAGCUCACCGGGCUUGGGUCGGACUGGGAUCGAAUUUUCAGUUUAGAUGAGAGCCCUAAACUGCAUUCAGGUCUCGUGUGCAGUCUGGCAGUGUCAAUAAUUCAUAUGCUAUAGGCUAAAGGCUUCCAUGCGACAACCUGUUUGCAUAAGGGGUUAUUUAAUUUUUUAGCCAAUUCACUACUGCACGUUGUGUAUUUUGUGGAAUUGUAUUAUUAGUAUGACAUUGGAGAACAUGUUG
rnacentral:lncRNA from 13 species